UACAGAGGGGGCAAGCGUUGUUCGGAAUUACUGGGCGUAAAGGGCGCGUAGGCGGCCUGUUAAGUCGAACGUGAAAUCCCCGGGCUCAACCCGGGAACUGCGUCCGAUACUGGCAGGCUUGAAUCCGGGAGAGGGAUGCGGAAUUCCAGGUGUAGCGGUGAAAUGCGUAGAUAUCUGGAGGAACACCGGCGGCGAAGGCGGCCCUCUGGAUCGUUGCGUGACGCUGAGACGCGAAAGCGUGGGGAGCAAACAGG
rnacentral:rRNA from 1 species